CAAUUUUUGACUUGUUUGUCAAGAAAACUCCUGUGUCUGGAAUACAAAUACAAAGCUUUCCUAGAAAGUCACAACUUUCUCUCUGUUCGUAGGCAGUUGCAUGCACUUUAAAGGAAAGUACAAACAUAAAUUAAUUCAGAAGUAAGACCACUGAUACGGAGUCCUUGACUGCUACAUUGAUCUCUUUAUUGACACCAGAAGCGAAGAAGAUGGGAAGAACACCUUCCUGUGACAAGGAAGGAAUGAAGAAAGGGGCAUGGACUCCUGAGGAAGACAAAUUGUUGGUUCAUUACAUCAAGAAACAUGGCCAUGAUUGCUGGCGUACACUCCCAAUGCUUGCAGGUUUCUUUCCAUUCUUGGUUCUUCUUCUUUCUUGAGAGAGAGAGAGAGAGAAAGAGAGAGAAGCCAGUUUCGUAUGAUAUCGCUAAGGGAGAGUGGGAAAAUUGGCUGUUUUGGUCCCUGCUGAUGCUUGAACGAGUCAAUGACACAGUUUUCUCUGUUGGCGGUCUCAUAGAAAGAGCGAGAGAAAGGGAUUUCUCUCUAAGGAAACUAUUUCUGUCUUUUUUCCUUAAUUAUCAUGAACUUCCAGUUUCCUUGUUGGGCUUUUCUAUUGAUAAU